GCCAAGAUGGCCGAGUGGUUUAAGGCGAUGGUUUUAAGCCUUUUGCGUGCUUUAACACCAUUAUCGAGAGAUUCCAGGGUUCGAACCCCUGUCUUGGCA